UAUCUCAAAUUCCGCACAACACCAACAAUUGAUAUCAAAGCAAGUACUCCCUAUACAGUUAACACCUACAGACUGGAUAAACAAUGGGACCGGGUCAUUUCAUUAGAGACUGUCCAAUGGACAAGAUUGAAUACAAGGACUACAUUAAAAAUGGUGGUGACAAGGGUAAACGAUGGGAUUGGGUCCAAAAGAAGCUGCUGCUGAUUACCUUGUCAAGCUCUUGCUGCUCGGGGGGACUCAUCGAGUAGAUCUGAGGAAUUGGAGCACUCAGAAGAUGCAUCAAUGAUGGCAGGAGAGGAUAAUGAUAAUGCUUUCAGUUCACUCUUCGUUCUCGUUGCAAAGUGAGCAGAUGAUGACAAUGAAAAGGAUUUGCGAAUGAAUGUUGGGCUGGGCCACCUCGAAUGACGUGGGCCGCAUGAAGGGAGACCAGCACUUAUGGUUUUUAGGCGAAUCUAGUCGAAAAAUCGGUCGGCGCCCACCUGACUAGAGGGACUGAGAAAUUAAUUGAGUACAAAACUUAUCUUCAAGCUUUACCUUAUUCUGAUCAUUCAGAGGGCAAUCGCGGGGUCACUGAAUAAAGUCCUCCGUUUCUUUAGGAGGUUCUGACCCGCAGCGAGGCAGAGAUGACUAAGUGACAUAUGGAAUAUGGCGACGACAACAACAUGUCGUAGAAGGAGAUAACAGGUGGAGCCAACGACCCACUAAGACUAACCUAUCUACAACUACAUCCCCGAGCGGCAGUCAAACGUUCCAAACUUAAACUUUUUUCAUGGUGAAAUAAAUUUGACGAUGCCACAAACAAAAAUGGCAAGAAAUUAUAUUUUCAAUUAUCAAAUUCUACAUUCGCAACAAAUAAUUUUAGCGUUCUAAUCCA